rfam:Glycine soja cultivar W05 scaffold2475_59, whole genome shotgun sequence.
GGCUCAUUAGCUCAGUUAGUUAGAGCGUUGAGCUAAUAACAUGGAAGUCAUAGGUUCGAGUCUUGCUUGGGCCA